GUGCUUACUUUGGCAGCACAUAUAUUAAAAUUGGGACAAUAAAGAGAAGAUUGUCAUGGCCCUUGUGCAAGGAAAAUAUGCAAAUUUGUGAAGCAUUCUAUAUUUGU
rnacentral:snRNA from 1 species